CCCGUAUAGGCCACUGAGAUGUGAAGAGUGACUCUGCAAGAGACAAGCAGCCGGCUGACCUCCCUGGCUGCGCCGCUGGUGAUGUCAUCAGGGUUGUGUGAAAGAGGACCCAGGUGAGAGAGCGGCCUACAGAUAUCAGAUGGAUGCUGGGAAACGCAGUGUGUUACAGCAGGAACACAGACACACACAGCAGGAAGAAGAGAAGUGUGAAAGAUCCUCGUGUGGAGCGCGCAAUUGGC